UGGGGGAUAUUGCACAAUGGGCGAAAGCCUGAUGCAGCGACGCCGCGUGGGGGAUGAAGGCUUUCGGGUUGUAAACCUCUUUCGCUAUCGAACAAGGCCCGCUUAGGGUGGGUUGAGGGUAGGUGGAGAAGAAGCCCCGGCUAACUACGUGCCAGCAGCCGCGGUAAUACGUAGGGCGCGAGCGUUGUCCGGAAUUAUUGGGCGUAAAGGGCUUGUAGGCGGCUUGUUGCGCCUGCUGUGAAAACGCGGGGCUUAACUUCGCGCGUGCAGUGGGUACGGGCAGGCUUGAGUGUGGUAGGGGUGACUGGAAUUCCAGGUGUAGCGGUGGAAUGCGCAGAUAUCUGGAGGAACACCGAUGGCGAAGGCAGGUCACUGGGCCAUUACUGACGCUGAGGAGCGAAAGCAUGGGUAGCGAACAGG
rnacentral:rRNA from 1 species